rnacentral:rRNA from 1 species
GACCAGACUCCUACGGGAGGCAGCAAUGAGGAAUAUUGGUCAAUGGCCGCAGGGCUGAACCAGCCAAGUCGCGUGAGGGAGGACGGCCCUACGGGUUGUAAACCUCUUUUGCCGGGGAGCAACGGGCGUCACGUGUGGCGCCACUGAGAGUACCCGGAGAAAAAGCAUCGGCUAACUCCGUGCCAGCAGCCGCGGUAAUACGGAGGAUGCGAGCGUUAUCCGGAUUUAUUGGGUUUAAAGGGUGCGCAGGCGGAAUGUCAAGUCAGCGGUAAAAUUUCGGGGCUCAACCCCGUCGUGCCGUUGAAACUGGCGUUCUUGAGUGAGCGAGAAGUAUGCGGAAUGCGUGGUGUAGCGGUGAAAUGCAUAGAUAUCACGCAGAACUCCGAUUGCGAAGGCAGCAUACCGGCGCUCAACUGACGCUCAUGCACGAAAGCGUGGGUAUCGAACAGGAUUAGAUACCCUAGUA